ACAAAAAGUUGGACACGACUGAGCGACUGAACUGAAUUGAACUGAACCUUAUCUUGUAACAGUGACAACAGUAAUCUACGCUGACCAGAGCAUUUUGAAAAGGCCCUGUGGGGAGAGCCUCUGGCCCCGAACUUGUGUGUUCCCUGUUCAGUAUCUAACACAGAGACAUCCAUUUCAGCAAACAUUUGUUCACUCAUUAAUGGCUUUACCCAGGGCAUGAGAGUGCCUGAGAAUAGAGAGUAAAUAUCUGAAUGGUACAAACACCAAAGAGGAAGGGCAAGCCAUUGGUCAUGACUCAAGGACAUAAAGGUGAAGAGUUGCAAUUGGCCCAGGAAAUUGGCUUCUGAAUGCCCAGUAAUGCUUUCAAUCUGAUGAGCCAUGGGCUAUCCCUUCCAAGAAUUACUGAAACCCUUAGGGCCCUCUAGAUGCCACCUGACCUUGAAUAACACUGGAGAAGAAAUCUCAAGGACUACUGCGAUCUCUUCCUGGCCCCUGGUAAAAGGAGCACCUGACCUUUCGUCUUUCCCAUCUCAUGGUUCGGGAUGAUUCAACUGGCCUGGAGCUCCGGUGGAACACUGUCUGCCUGAACUCUGGUGUCCUGCCUCAUGGCCUUGGGUCUAGCUGCCAAGUCCCCAUGGCAGCCUGGAUUCCUGGACUUUUGGUUUUUCCUUGUCAUCAUCUGGUUGUGAAAUAAAGUGCAGCCUCUGCUCUCCUGGCAGUUUCCAGUGUCUGCUCCAUUUCAUUGCAUGGACUCCACUGGAUUUUGACAGGUCACCCUCUACAUGAAACCACAGUUGAAAGCAGUCUCAAAUGAGGCUCUGACAGACUCUCUCUGGGAGUGAAAGAUAAGCCGAUGACAAAUAAAAGCAAACCUUUGAAGCAGAGCAUUUAGAGGCAUAUUUUUAAUGAAGCUUGGGAUUGGGGAGUCAGAGCAGCAAAUGGCUGGACUGGUAUUCAAACCCUGACAACUUCCUCAUGAGGCAGAAGAGUGAAGAGGGGACAGAACGCAGGUGUCAGAACACAGGUGAACGUCAGAGAGUUGGAGAGCUGACGCAGCUGCUGAAAGUUUUGAUAUUCAUUUACUCAAGCAAGGUCACCAUGGUCCUUUACUCAAUUACAAGGUCACCGUGGAACUAACUUAG